CCGGUGGCCCCUCGGCUCCUCCCGGCAGACCGGCGGGGAACAGCCGGAGCGUGGCCGCUUGCAAGGCUUCGGGCGAGUCCGAAUGCCAGGGCCCACGAGAGCGCAGCCCGGUCCCUCCGGUGCGCGCAGCCCCGCAGGCCCCUUUGUGUGACUAAAUUUGGCAAGAAUAUGGAUCCCAGCCAGUCUUUCCACGUGUGCUCCCAGCUCCCAGCUGAGAAGGCCAAGGGUUCUCUUCCGGGUGUCCUCACCGUCAGACUCUGUGGAUAGCUCUGUUCCAACACCUUCAGGAGGAAGCAGUUCUGCAUGUGUACACACACACACACACACACACACACACACACACACACACACACUCAAGCACACACACAAACACACACACACUCACGCACACACACAUUCAUGCACACACUCACUCGCACACACACACAAACACACACACAUACACACACUCACACACAUUCAUGCACACACACAAACACACACACAUACACACACAUUCAUGCACACACACACUCAUACACACACAUUCAUGCACACACACACACGCACACACUCACACAUACACACUUUGAUGGUUUCUCAGAUGUGCCAGAGAGAGAGGGACAGUGAAAGUUACCCCUUCUCUCAGGUGGCUCCAUGUGUGGCUGCAGCUGCCUGCAUCUAUCCAGAUGGGCUUUGCCAGCAGACCUGGGUCUGGGUGGAUCCUGUCAUCUAUUCCAAGUCUGUAGGGGUGUGUGUGUGUGUGUGUGUGUGUGUGUGUGUGUGUGUGUGUGUGUAGGAGGAAGCACUUACAGAGAACGUCCGUGGACUGCAGAUGGUAGCUCUGGUCCUGAUGCCAAAGGGAAAGGUUUUAGUCUACCUGGGGACAUUUGGCAAGGGCAGGCAGUGGGAGGGGUGACUUAGGUGACAUCUUCGGGCUGUUCUAGCCCCAGGUGUUUCUGGGAGGUUUGCUGUAAUUAACAUUUUUUUUUAGUCAAUGCUAUUAUCUCUGCAAAACUUGACACAUUUUACCACAUGGAGAUGAAUGCUCUUGGCUUUACUCGGAGAAGCACUCCAUCUCAGCUCACGUAUUUUUUUUUUUUUUACCUGGGGGUGAUUCUGAUGAAAACCUUUUAUAAUCUUUUUCCUAUCAUGGUUAUGAAAUCCUAGACUGUAUAUCUCUGUAUGGAUGUGCAUUGCUUUCUUUCUUAAAAGAUAUUACCUUAUUUUUAUUUUAUGUGUAUGGGUGUUUUGCCUGCAUGUAUUUAUGUGUGACAGUUGUGCGCCUGGUACUCAUGGAGGCUAGAGAAGGUGUUGGAUGUCCUGGAGCUGGAGUUAGAGAAGGUCGUGAACCAUGAUAUCAGUGCUGGGAAUAAUUGAACCUGAGUCCUCUGGAAGAGCAACAGCCAGUGUUCUUUUUUUUUUUUUUAAAGGUUUAUUUAUUUAUUAUGCAUAUAACAUCCUGCCUGCAUACACACCUGCAGGCCAGAAGAUCUCAUUACAGAUGGUUGUGAGCCACCAUGUGGUUGCUGGGAUUUGAACUCAGGACCUCUGGAAGAGCAGACAGUGCUCUUAACCUCUGAGCCAUUUCUCCAGCCCCGCAGCCAGUGUUCUUAACCACUGGGCUAACUGUCCAGCAUCCAGUUAUUUCUUUUCCUUCCUCUUCUUUUCCUGUCUGUCUUUUCUGUUUUUUUCUUGGGGUGUGUGUGUGUGUGUGUGUGUGUGUGUGUGUGUGUUCCUGUGUGUGUAUUUGUGUGCCCAUGCACACAUGUGAGUGUUUGUCUGCAUGUACACAUGUGCAUCGCAAGCACGCCUGGAACCCAUGAAGGCCAGCAGAGGAUGCCGGAUUCCCUGGAACGUGAGUUAUGGAUGGUUACAAGGUGCCUCGUGGGUGCUGGGAUCCGAACUCAGGUCCUCUUGAAGAGCACCGAGUGGUUUUAGCAGUAGGGCCAUCUUUCCAGCCCCAUGUAGAUAUUUCUGUCAAAGCCGUAGUGUUAUUUUAUGUCCCAAGUAGAAAAUUUUCAGAGAGAAAGCCAGCCCCUGAAGUUCUAAAGUUGCUUUCUCUAAUUAAUGAUGAAUUCGUGUUCUGUGGAAACUUCUGGUGGAAACACUCAGCAUCCCAGGCCCUGCUCAGCCUCGAAAUAAUCCUUAAGUCCAGACAUAAAUAAUCCGUGCAUACCACAUUUUUAUAAAUACACCAUCGUGUAACAGGGCCAGGAGCAAGCGUGUAAAGGCUCAGUCUUUAGUCCAUGUCUUGUUAUAGAACAGUGGGGUGAUUUCUUUGAUGUGAUAUCUUUGAUAUGAUGCUCUUUUACAUUUUUAAUUAAUUUAUUCAUUGAUAGAGUCACACACACACACACACACACACACACACACACACACACGUGUGUGUGUGUGUGUGUGUGGCAAAGCCAGAAUAUGACUCUUUACAUCUUCCAGUGUGAAUAUAAAUUACCAUUACAAUAUUAUGGAAAAGAGAGGAGUCUAAUACACACAUUUCAUUUCGUGCAAGGCUUUCUUCUCACCCCUCCCCACAGCCCCCAGGAAAACCAGUUCAGCUAUUAAGGGAGCCACUCAAUGCAGCAGAGCAAGAUCAGGCGGUGCUUCCAAGAGAAGAGCUGUUUACCAUCAAAGAGACUACUUCCACACAGACACGGGAUAUUAUACACAAAGACAGAGGUAAAUGUGGCAUGGUUUUCAAGAGUAAUUUACCCUGCUUAAAGAAAGGCACUCGGCUGUCUGCAGUUCUCGCUGAUCCUAUUUCUUGUUCCUCUUUUGUUGAAACAAAAUAGCCAACUAAGAAAACGUAAUUAAAAAGUCAGUUGUCUGAGACCCGGUCCCCUGAAAUUGCCAGAUGCUCCUGCUGUCUCGGCACCUACCUGUCACAUAGGGAUGUUUCAUGCCAAGUGACAAAUGCCAGCCUAGAAACACCACACAAAUGGAAAUUCACUAGACUUUCAUUUUCCAAAGUGCUUUUCUCUUCUCCGUUUUUUAAAAGCAAGAAUUUUACUUGGAGUUAUAUAUUUCCUGGGUUAAUUCAUAUUUUAUAAACAUGUGGAAUUAUUAAUUCAUUCUAUCUGUAGCAUGUAUGGACCCCGAAGCUUGUGGCAGAGCUGUUAUCUGUUGUAGGGAUGCAGACAAGCUCUUUGAUGUGUUAUUCUCAGGGACUUGGGGGAUAGAGAUGAAACACGCAUUUGGCCAGCCUCUGCAGAUGGGCUGGAAAAGGCUCUGAUGGUUUAUGUGCCUUUCUGUAAGACCCUCUCCUCUGUAUCGUGGUGUCGGUGACUGAAACAUCAGAGUAGCAGCCUUAACCCUUCCCACUACAGCCCCUCUAGGCCAAGGUGUGGAAAUCCCAGCCCACAGAUAUCCCUCCCAGCACCCGUCUGGCUCAGCAGGUUACCUCUGAUGGGGUAGCAAUACACUAUUCAGGAAAACCAGCCAAAGCCAGUAACCACAGUCAGCGCAUAGUACAGUGCUAUUCUCUGCUGGGAGCUGAUCCAGUGCUUUCUUUGCAGUAGCCCCUUAGCGCACACAUCAACCCUGUAGCACGGCUCUUCCAGUAAGCCUGAUUUGCAGCUGAGGUAUGUGGUAGCUUC